GCCUACCACGCGCCGAGCUCCAUCCAGUAGGUGAGGGGUUCCGACCGCGGAUGGAGGCGGGGGACCACCAGGUCCGCCGAGAUCGGACCGGGGCCGGUUUACGGCCCUUGGGGUGAAGCCGACGUCGUCUCACCGGAGUACGACGCUGGCCGGGUGACCUCUCUGGUUUUGAACCAACCCGAACCCGACAGCUGACCUCGCAGGCGUGUACAGAGAGGAAUC
rnacentral:sRNA from 2 species